GUUAGUAGGACAAAGUACUCAUCUUCCGGUACCACCGUGGUGGUCAUUUAUCCUUGAUUUCUUCUGCUGGUACCAGCUGAAUAUUACCUUCAUCCCCUACUCAUCUGUUUUGCCUCUAAGGAUGCUACAUUGUAUUAAGCAUCUCUGUAGGCCUCUGUGUGUCAGACUGACAGUUGUCGUAGUUGCGCCCCCUGGUUUCUGGCCUUUAAGCGCUGCCCCUCUAAUACUGGCCGCCAAUAAGCGCUGGCCUCUAUUGGUGUAGGGUCCUACCACCCCCACUGCUAUCUGCAAGACAAGUUCUUUCCCAGCCUCUUCUACAUCAGCCCUGGCCCACAGAGGAGAUCCACCACCUUUCAUGAUGCUGGUGCCCACUCAACAGAGAAUCCCUUAUGUCUGCAGUAAAUGGUUUGUCCUCUGAGCCUUCCUGUGAAUCAUCUGAUGGGUCUUCCCCAACGUAGAAAUGAAGAUUACAAUACAUUGCACAGGAGAGAGCAGACCCUUGGAGAGCAAGUUAGAUGGUCCAGGGAAAUCGAGGGCACAGGCUUUGGAACAGCAAUCAGCGCUUCACGUGGGAACAAUGCUGAGCUGGCUGCACCACACCUCGCCCGAGGUCACCUGGUGAAAACGUUCCACCGUGAAUUGAGGCCAAGACCAAAGCUCUGAUGGAGAAGAACCAAGCCAGAGCCCUCCCCUGACUCCUUCUGCCAGCCUCAGAUGCCGACAGUGUUGAUGCGGAAUGAACAAGACAAACUUCACCCUGGUCUGAUGGAACUUACCUCCUAGAGGUGAAAACGGACAAAAAAGCGGUAGCUUCCAUCUCGAGAUCCGGAACGGCUGCUCCAGUGGCCGCUGUCAUGUCUACACUCAAACCAGCAAGAAAAGGGGAAAGAAAGGGGAGGACUCCUCUUCCCUUAAAGGUUGUGACCCAGAAGGUGAACACAUCACUUCCAUUUACAUCCCACAGCUGGAACUUUUUCCCAUGAUCACAUAACUGCAAAGGAGGCUGACAAAGGUACUCUUGAGUUGGGUUGGGUGUCCACGUACAGAUACGAAACCUACCACCAGGGAAUAAGGGGAUGUUGGCAAACAAAUACAGUCUCUGCUACUCUCCUAUAUCCCGUGCCUACUAAAUUCAGCGAACUUAGAAGGGGCUGAUCCAUUUGCAUGGUGAGUUAACGAAAACCUCAUGAUAGGUUCUGGGAUACCAAGAUGAAAUAAUAUACUUUCUGUUCUGAAGGAGCUUUUAGUCAAUACCGGGGGCUAGACAAGUAAAGAAACAAAGACAAUGAAUUGUAUCAGGUGGGAUAGCAGCCUGUGCGGGUCACAGUUUAAACAGUCACAAAGGAGAAAGGCAGCACAUCCAUCUGGGGCAAGAGAGGUCAGAAAAGACUCCAUCAAGAAGGUGGUGCUCAGCUGAGUCUGAAAGCUGAGUCGAUGUUUGUCUGGGGAGCCAGGCGAGGAGAGCCGUUCAAGGACGCAAGAGAAGAAUGUCAGCAAAGACAGGAAGAUUUAGAACAACCUGGUACAUUCAGAGGAGGGCAAGUGGGUUGGGAGAGAGAUGGCAAGAGAAGACGAUGGGAUGGAGGAGGUGCGUGGGGACCAGGUCUGGGGACCUUAGUCUUUAUCCCAUAGGAAAUGGUGGCCCAUUGAACAGUUUCAAAUACAGAUGUUUAAUGUGUCAGGGGUGCAAUUACAUUUGCAUUUUUGGAAACUUGCUUUAAGUACACUUUGUGGGGCGAUGAACUAACAGUAGGGACAGGACCGGCAAUAGGAAGCAAAAUAUCGCAGAAGCUUAGUUUUUCUUGGUGAGUCUUAAAGUUUGAUGCAAAUCUAACUGUCAAUAGUCUAAUAUACCUCAGAAAUACCUCAUAAAGCUAGAAAUACUUUAUCUGAAAUUAAUUAAAGUUGCAGUUGACUAUUUUAAGACCAA